GAACAGGGUUGAGUAACACGUGGGCAACCUGCCCUGCAGAUCGGGAUAACUCCGGGAAACCGGUGCUAAUACCGAAUAGUUUGCGGCCUCUCAUGAGGCCGCACGGAAAGACGGUUUCGGCUGUCACUGCAGGAUGGGCCCGCGGCGCAUUAGCUAGUUGGUGAGGUAACGGCUCACCAAGGCCACGAUGCGUAGCCGACCUGAGAGGGUGAUCGGCCACACUGGGACUGAGACACGGCCCAGACUCCUACGGGAGGCAGCAGUAGGGAAUCUUCCGCAAUGGACGAAAGUCUGACGGAGCAACGCCGCGUGAGUGAAGAAGGUUUUCGGAUCGUAAAACUCUGUUGUGAGGGAAGAACAAGUACCAAGUAACUACUGGUACCUUGACGGUACCUCACCAGAAAGCCACGGCUAACUACGUGCCAGCAGCCGCGGUAAUACGUAGGUGGCAAGCGUUGUCCGGAAUUAUUGGGCGUAAAGCGCGCGCAGGCGGUCCUUUAAGUCUGAUGUGAAAGCCCACGGCUCAACCGUGGAGGGUCAUUGGAAACUGGGGGACUUGAGUGCAGAAGAGGAAAGUGGAAUUCCACGUGUAGCGGUGAAAUGCGUA
rnacentral:rRNA from 1 species